GUCCACCUGCCGCUCUGUGUAUGUGUAUGAGUGUGUGCGCGCAGCUGUGCGCACAGCUGUGCGCGAGCGAGGCUUUUGGUGCGUGUGUGAUGGGGGCGUGACUGUUAGGACAAAAAAAAGCAUGUUUUGAAACUUUGUUCGUCCACCUAAUAACAAUUUAGUCUCGUCUCGUUCUCGUCUGACGAAAAUCAAUACAAUUUUCGUCACAUUUUAGUCUUUACAGAGCUUUGGUGACGUUCGUCUUAGUCUCAUUUUCGUCAAGGAAAAAAGGGGUCUGACGUCGUCAUUUAAGUUUUCGUCCUGCCUGACGAAAACAACACUG